rnacentral:rRNA from 1 species
UACGUAGGGGGCAAGCGUUGCUCGGAAUCACUGGGCGUAAAGCGCACGUAGGCGGAUUUCUAAGUCAGGGGUGAAAUCCUGGAGCUCAACUCCAGAACUGCCUUUGAUACUGGGAAUCUCGAGUCCGGGAGAGGUGAGUGGAACUGCGAGUGUAGAGGUGAAAUUCGUAGAUAUUCGCAAGAACACCAGUGGCGAAGGCGGCUCACUGGCCCGGUACUGACGCUGACGGUGCGAAAGCGUGGGGAGCAAACAGG